rnacentral:lncRNA from 1 species
AAAAUUGAACUUGAAUUAAAUGGACAUUUAUACAAACAAAUGAUACGAGCGCCUAUUGGUGGUAUAUGAUUUACAUCUGUCUGGUCUAUUAAAAAUAUCUUGAAUAUUAAGUUCCAAUGGAUAGAAAACAUCAAAUUGCACUACCAAUACAAAGACGACAGCUUUAUGUUCUUCACAGGCACAUUAAAACAGGUUAAAUAUGUCUUUAACACAGCAAACAACAUU